AACGAACGCUGGCGGCAUGCCUAACACAUGCAAGUCGAACGAGUACCUUCGGGUGCUAGUGGCGCACGGGUGAGUAACGCGUGGGAACCUGCCUUUCGGUACGGGAUAACGUUUGGAAGCGAACGCUAAUACCGUAUAUGUCUUUGGAUGAAAGAUUUAUCGCCGGAAGAGGGGCCCGCGUCUGAUUAGGUAGUUGGUGAGGUAACGGCUCACCAAGCCUUCGAUCAGUAGCUGGUCUGAGAGGAUGAUCAGCCACACUGGGACGGAGACACGGCCCAGACUCCUACGGGAGGCAGCAGUGGGGAAUAUUGGACAAUGGGCGCAAGCCUGAUCCAGCAAUGCCGCGUGAGUGAUGAAGGCCUUCGGGUUGUAAAGCUCUUUUGCCUGCGACGAUGAUGACGGUAGCAGGAGAAUAAGCCCCGGCUAACUUCGUGCCAGCAGCCGCCGUAACAC
rnacentral:rRNA from 1 species